rnacentral:rRNA from 1 species
UACCAGCACCCCGAGUGGUCGGGACGAUUAUUGGGCCUAAAGCAUCCGUAGCCGGUUCUGCAAGUCUUCCGUUAAAUCCAGCCGCUCAACGGAUGGGCCGCGGAGGAUACUAUAGGACUAGGAGGCGGGAGAGGCAAGCGGUACUCAGUGGGUAGGGGUAAAAUCCUUUGAUCCAUUGAAGACCACCAGUGGCGAAGGCGGCUUGCCAGAACGCGCUCGACGGUGAGGGAUGAAAGCUGGGGGAGCAAACCGG